rnacentral:rRNA from 1 species
AGUGAACGCUGGCGGUAGGCCUAACACAUGCAAGUCGAACGGCAGCACAGUAAGAGCUUGCUCUUACGGGUGGCGAGUGGGGGACGGGGGGGGAAAACACGGAAUUCUACUUUUUCGGGGGGGAUAAGGUAGGAAAACUUAGGCUAAUACCGCAUACAACCUCCGGUGGAAAGCAGGGGAUCUUCGGCCCUGGCGCGAUUGAAUGAGCCGAUGUCGGAUUAGCUAGUGGGCGGGGUAAAGGCCCACCAAGGCGACGAUCCGUAGCUGGUCUGAGAGGAUGAUCAGCCACACUGGAACUGAGACACGGUCCAGACUCCUACGGGAGGCAGCAGUGGGGAAUAUUGGACAAUGGGCGCAAGCCUGAUCCAGCCAUACCGCGUGGGUGAAGAAGGCCUUCGGGUUGUAAAGCCCUUUUGUUGGGAAAGAAAAGCAGCAGGUUAAUACCCCGCUGUUCUGACGGUACCCAAAGAAUAAGCACCGGCUAACUUCGUG